UUCUGGUUGAUCCUGCCAGAGGCGACCGCUAUUGGAGUUCGAUUAAGCCAUGCGAGUAGAAAGAAAUUAGAUUCUUUGCAUACUGCUCAGUAACACGUGGAUAACCUGCCCUGUGCUGGAGGAUAAUCUUGGGAAACUGAGCAUAAUACUCCAUAGACCACUACGCCUGGAACGGUGAGUGGUUCAAAGCUCUGGCGGCACAGGAUGGGUCUGCGGCGUAUCAGGUUGUAGGGGGUGUAAUGGACCCCCUAGCCAUCGACGCGUACGGGUUGUGGGAGCAAUAGCCCGGAGACGGAUUCUGAGACACGAAUCCGGACCCUACGGGGUGCAGCAGGCGCGAAAACUUCACACUGCAGGCAACUGUGAUGAGGGAACUCCAAGUGACUGCACAAUGUGUAGCCUUUUCUUGACUGUUAAUAAGUCUUGGAAUAAGGGCUGGGAAAGACCGGUGCCAGCCGCCGCGGUAAUACCGGCAGCUCGAGUGGUCGUCGCUUUUAUUGGGCCUAAAACGUCCGUAGCCUGUUCAGUAAACCCGUGGGUAAAUCAACCAGCUUAACUGGUUGAAUUCUGCGGAGACUGCUGGACUAGGGACCGGGAGAGGUAUGAGGUACUCUCAGGGUAGGGGUAAAAUCCUGUCAUCCUGAGAGGACCACCUGUUGCGAAGGCGUCAUACUGGAACGGAUCCGACGGUCAGGGACGAAGCCUAGGGGCACGAACCGGAUUAGAUACCCGGGUAGUCCUAGGUGUAAACGCUGUGGACUUGGUGUUGGAGAUCCGCAAUGGGUCUUCAGUGCCGCAGCGAAGGUGUUAAGUCCACUGCCUGGGGAGUACGGUCGCAAGGCUGAAACUUAAAGGAAUUGGCGGGGGAGCACUGCAACGGGAGGAGCGUGCGGUUUAAUUGGACUCAACGCCGGGA
rnacentral:rRNA from 1 species